rnacentral:rRNA from 1 species
GUUGAACGCUGGCGGCAUGCCUUACACAUGCAAGUCGAACGGCAGCACGGGUGCUUGCACCUGGUGGCGAGUGGCGAACGGGUGAGUAAUACAUCGGAACAUGUCCUGUAGUGGGGGAUAGCCCGGCGAAAGCCGGAUUAAUACCGCAUACGAUCUACGGAUGAAAGCGGGGGACCUUCGGGCCUCGCGCUAUAGGGUUGGCCGAUGGCUGAUUAGCUAGUUGGUGGGGUAAAGGCCUACCAAGGCGACGAUCAGUAGCUGGUCUGAGAGGACGACCAGCCACACUGGGACUGAGACACGGCCCAGACUCCUACGGGAGGCAGCAGUGGGGAAUUUUGGACAAUGGGCGAAAGCCUGAUCCAGCAAUGCCGCGUGUGUGAAGAAGGCCUUCGGGUUGUAAAGCACUUUUGUCCGGAAAGAAAUCCUUGGCUCUAAUACAGCCGGGGGAUGACGGUACCGGAAGAAUAAGCACCGGCUAACUACGUG